rnacentral:lncRNA from 1 species
GUUAGUGAAUAACUCUAUAUAUUUUUUAAAAAGAGCGAAAGAAAUUACUAACAAAUAACAAUAAGAUGACAAAUCCGGAAAUUGAGCACAAGGAAUACAGAGAAUUGAACGCAUUCAUAGGGCCAACAAUCACAAAUAUUCAUUCAUAUUCGUAAGAGGAUUUCGGAUAAAUGUAUACAAACCUAAACAACUAAAAGUUAACAAAAGACGGCCAACAAAGGUAUGAAAUAGAAGGUAAGGUCUAGUAACAGAAACAACAACGAGCAGCAAGCUUCUGCAACUCAGAUGUCACUCACAAAUUCCCAAAAAUUGAAAUAACGGAGUAGAAAAUCAAAUAACCUUCAAAUCCUUUAAUUUUAAGUUUUUUCGUUCUCUUUUAGUUCUGUCCUUGUUCCCCAGUGAGAAGCAACAGAUGGAGCUCAGGAGAUAGUCCACUUCAUCCAAAAUAAAAGUAAAUCGCAGCAAAUGGAGCUCGGAAGAUAGUCGCCGGCCGGUUCUUUGAUUUUUGAGUGAUGAGAGCUUUUCUUCAGAUUUCAAAAUACAAUUGUUUAGAUCUUGAAAUUUCCUUGCCGAGAUCUUUUCUUUGUUUUUCGUGUCAGUCCCCCUUAUGGUCAGAUGAGCAUGUGUCUAUGGGAGCUUGGGUGUGGAAAUCCCAUAGUUCUUGUUAUGUGUGUUCUUAGGAAAAAAAUGGGGAAAUUCGCGUGUGUCCUCCCCUCUUCCAUCUGAUCUCUGUAUUUGUAUGUGAAGGAGUAAAGAAGAAGGGUUGAAAAUUGGGGAAUGAAACACGCCUUUUC